AUUGAUUUGCCCCCUACAUCGAGCUUUAUGGCUUUGGCCAGGUUUCAACUUUGAGUGAGCCGCUCGACCAACACUAAACCAAAGACAGGGCAAAU
rfam:Legionella sp. LEGN contig_87, whole genome shotgun sequence.